rnacentral:rRNA from 1 species
UACGUAGGGUGCAAGCGUUGUCCGGAAUUAUUGGGCGUAAAGAGCUCGUAGGCGGUUUGUCGCGUCGGUUGUGAAAGCCCGGGGCUUAACCCCGGGUCUGCAGUCGAUACGGGCAGGCUAGAGUUCGGUGAGGGGAGAUCGGAAUUCCAGGUGUAGCGGUGAAAUGCGUAGAUAUCUGGAGGAAUACCGGUGGCGAAGGCGGCAUCCUGGACCGACAUUGACGCUGAUGAGCGAAAGCUAAGGGGAGCAAACGGGG